AGCUCAGCUACAUCAGUGAUGUUUCCUGAGCCCCAGAUUUUAUCUCAUCAGGAUUCCAGAGCAUAAGACAGAUGGCCUCAUGUCUGGCUUGGAGGUGUAAUUCACUCUCUCAGUGAAAACCAUUUCCUCCUCACCGUGGACUUGAUCCAGAGGCUGCGCCCAUCUCGCCCACGUCAACAGUCCUGUGUCCUUGGCGGAGGACAGUGCUCUCAUUCUGGGCCUUUCCCUUCUUCCUCAGCCAAAGCCCAGUCCCUGCACCUCUGCGCAGCUAACAAACAGGCUGAGUUCCCCGCAGCAGGGAAGGCCCCCGUCGGCUGUCGUUCUCAGGGGUGAGGGGAACCCGACACUUUCUCUACAUUUUCCCCAGCGCAGCCAGCUCUGUCCCAGGCCUUGGGGGUUCCAGGGUUGAGGCAGAAUCCAGCCACCCCUAACCUACAGAGCCAAAACAGUCCUGAGUGAACCUGCAGAAAUGUGAAAGCUGGGCAUUUCUGGGCAUUCCCAAGAACAGUCUUCC
rnacentral:lncRNA from 1 species